rnacentral:rRNA from 1 species
GACGAACGCUGGCGGCGUGCCUAAUACAUGCAAGUAGAACGCACAGUUUAUACCGUAGCUUGCUACACCAUAAACUGUGAGUUGCGAACGGGUGAGUAACGCGUAGGUAACCUGCCUGGUAGCGGGGGAUAACUAUUGGAAACGAUAGCUAAUACCGCAUAAUAUUGAUUAUUGCAUGAUAAUUGAUUGAAAGAUGCUAUUGCAUCACUACCAGAUGGACCUGCGUUGUAUUAGCUAGUAGGUGAGGUAACGGCUCACCUAGGCGACGAUACAUAGCCGACCUGAGAGGGUGAUCGGCCACACUGGGACUGAGACACGGCCCAGACUCCUACGGGAGGCAGCAGUAGGGAAUCUUCGGCAAUGGACGAAAGUCUGACCGAGCAACGCCGCGUGAGUGAAGAAGGUUUUCGGAUCGUAAAGCUCUGUUGUAAGAGAAGAACGGGUGUGAGAGGGAAAGUUCACACUGGAC